rnacentral:lncRNA from 1 species
AAAGGCCACCAUUGUUGGUACAUGGUUCAUAGAUAAUCCCCACAAGCACACGAAUCCAAAGUGCCACACAGCAACCCGUAAAUAUUACAUGCCACUAGCCAUUCAACACAGCUACUAAUAUCCGAUCAUAAGUUACCAAUAAUAUUGACCAGGUCCUAGUUAAAAUAGAACACAUUCAACCAUGCUCUCCCCAACAGCUAAGAAAGACCAUGCAAUGAUGCUAAUUACACAUGAUAUAACGAAGAGAUAGAUCAUCCAAAGUUUCAACUUCACAUGAUUCGAUUGCGGAGAUCAUUCAAACUUCAUCUUUUUUCCACUUGCCCCCAUCCCAAUUGCUUCCACCGCUCACUAGCAGAAACAAACAUAUUUGUCAAAAUAUAAACAGCUCUUUACCUACUUCAAGGGUGUUCUCAC